CCUACGGGAGGCAGCAGUGGGGGAUAUUGCACAAUGGGGGGAACCCUGAUGCAGCGACGCCGCGUGGGUGAAGAAGCGCCUCGGCGCGUAAAGCCCUGUCAGCAGGGAAGAAAAUGACGGUACCUGAAGAAGAAGCCCCGGCUAACUACGUGCCAGCAGCCGCGGUAAUACGUAGGGGGCAAGCGUUAUCCGGAUUUACUGGGUGGAAAGGGGGCGCAGACGGCGAUGCAAGCCAGGAGUGAAAGCCCGGGGCCCAACCCCGGGACUGCUCUUGGAACGGCGUGGCUGGAGUGCAGGAGGGGCAGGCGGAAUUCCUGGUGUAGCGGUGAAAUGCGUAGAUAUCAGGAGGAACACCGGUGGCGAAGGCGGCCUGCUGGACUGCAACUGACGUUGAGGCCCGAAAGCGUGGGGAGCAAACAGGAUUAGAUACCCCAGUAGUC
rnacentral:rRNA from 1 species